ensembl:misc_RNA 7SK 7SK RNA
GGGUGGGUGGUUUCACCUUUUGCAUAACCGCUACUUCCCCAUCCUUCCCCAAACUGCACAUUCACUGGCAGAGGACCACCUUCCUUCCAUUAUAGAGGAGGACUAGUCUUCAUUCAAGUGUGUAGGAGUAGCUGCAUUUCCUUUCUAGAACUUUCCAACUGGCUCUCAAAUAACUUGAUAAAAAUUUGAGUGUUCCAUUAGGGAAAAUGUUACAGUAGGUAAUGUGUAUCCAUCU